rnacentral:misc_RNA from 1 species
GAUGAAGAACGUAGCGAAAUGCGAUACGUAAUGUGAAUUGCAAAUUCAGUGAAUCAUCGAGUCUUUGAACGCACAUUGCGCCCCCUGGUAUUCCGGGGGGCAUGCCUGUCCGAGCGUCAUUGCUGCCCUCAAGCACGGCUUGUGUGUUGGGCCCCGUCCUCCGAUCCCGGGGGACGGGCCCGAAAGGCAGCGGCGGCACCGCGUCCGGUCCUCGAGCGUAUGGGGCUUUGUCACCCGCUCUGUAGGCCCGGCCGGCGCUUGCCGAUCAACCCAAAUUUUUAUCCAGGUUGACCUCGGAUCAGGUAGGAAUACCCGCUGAACUUAAGCAUAUCAAUAAGCGGAGGA